AUGUUCGUGCUGUUCAGUGGUGAAGGGGCUCGGAUAUCCCUCCAACAACUGAUGCAAAAUAAAAUUCCCGUGCUUUUUGGUGCAGCUCUGGCGUGCGUGGAAGGGCUCCGGUCACAUCCAACAACUGCCCCUAGACGACGAAGUCCACCACCUCCAGCAUCACGCGGUGGCUCCCUCCUCUCCACCAUUCUUGAUCAUCUGCUUCGGCGUUUAUACGAGCAAGAUGUGCUACUCGCGUUCCGCUCGAUGUUGGUGGUGCUUUUCUCAAAUUUUAGGCGAGGAUGUGCCUUCGUCAUCGAGGACCUGCAGUCCUAG
rnacentral:rRNA from 1 species